CUGGGUGUAAAGGGCGUGUAGGCGGAGAUGCAAGUUGGGAGUGAAAUCCCGGGGCUCAACCCNCGGAACUGCUUUCAAAACUGUAUCCCUUGAGUGUCGGAGAGGCAAGCGGAAUUCCUAGUGUAGCGGUGAAAUGCGUAGAUAUUAGGAGGAACACCAGUGGCGAAGGCGGCUUGCUGGACGAUAACUGACGCUGAGGCGCGAAAGCGUGGGGAGCAAACAGGAUUAGAUACCCUGGUAGUCCACGCUGUAAACGAUGAAUACUAGGUGUGGGAGGACUGACCCCUUCCGUGCCGCAGUUAACACAAUAAGUAUUCCACCUGGGGAGUACGACCGCAAGGUUGAAACUCAAAGGAAUUGACGGGGGCCCGCACAAGCGGUGGAUUAUGUGGUUUAAUUCGACGCAACGCGAAGAACCUUACCAGGAUUUGACAUCCAACUAACGAAGUAGAGAUACAUUAGGUGCCCUUCGGGGAAAGUUGAGACAGGUGGUGCAUGGUUGUCGUCAGCUCGUGUCGUGAGAUGUUGGGUUAAGUCCCGCAACGAGCGCAACCCCUAUUGUUAGUUGCUACGCAAGAGCACUCUAGCGAGACUGCCGUUGACAAAACGGAGGAAGGCGGGGACGACGUCAAAUCAUCAUGCCCCUUAUGUCCUGGGCUACACACGUAAUACAAUGGUGGUAAACAGAGGGAAGCAAUACCGCGAGGUGGAGCAAAUCCCUAAAAGCCAUCUCAGUUCGGAUUGCAGGCUGCAACUCGCCUGCAUGAAGCUGGAAUCG
rnacentral:rRNA from 1 species